CCUACGGGAGGCAGCAGUGGGGAAUAUUGGGCAAUGGGCGCAAGCCUGACCCAGCAACGCCGCGUGAAGGAAGAAGGCUUUCGGGUUGUAAACUUCUUUUCUCAGGGACGAAGAAAGUGACGUUACCUGAGGAAUAAGCCACGGCUAACUACGUGCCAGCAGCCGCGGUAAUACGUAGGUGGAAAGCGUUAUCCGGAUUUAUUGGGAGGAAGGGGCGAGUAGGCGGGAGCGCAAGUCAGAUGUGAAAAAUCAGGGCUCAACCCUGGACCUGCAUUUGAAACUGGGUAUCUUGAGUGCUGGAGAGGCGAUCAGAAUUCCGUGUGUAGCGGUGAAAUGCGUAGAUAUGCGGAGGAACACCAGUGGCGAAGGCGGAUUGCUGGACAGUAACUGACGCUGAGGCGCGAAAGCGUGGGGAGCAAACAGGAUUAGAUACCCGAGUAGUC
rnacentral:rRNA from 1 species